CUUAGAGAUUGAGUGUGUCCACAGAUGUUUGUUGAACACAGUGGGCUGGUGGGAUAUGGAGCUUGAGCCAUCAGAGGUAAAAAGAGGUUCAACAUUCUGAGAUUACAGUGAAGAAGAGGCCGUGCUGGGAAUGGCCUCAACCCCUAGAGUCAAGGAUGCAUGAAAACAAAAUGGAUGAUGAGGAUUUGCUGGAAAUCCACCAGGUGGCACAAGAAAUUGCAGUGUGAAUAAAGUGGAAGGGGUUGGUAAAGGCAACAAAUCAGAGCUGGUAUGGCCUUCCAGUAGAGUUUGCAUGUUAAAAACAAGAACUGAAGAAAAAAAAAAGCGACUAGGAAGGAAGAAUCUUUCAUGGUAGUUUUCAA
rnacentral:lncRNA from 1 species